AUGCAAGUCGUACGAGACGCUCUAGCUGCUAGAGCAGUAAGUGGCGCACGGGUGAGNACGCGUGGGUAAUCUUACCUUCGAAUUGGGGAUAACGUUGCGAAAGCGACGCUAAUACGAAUAAUAUCCAUUAAUCUUGGGUUUUUGGAUCAAGGGUGGCCUCUACAUGUAAGCUACUGUUUGAAGAUGAGCCCGCGUACCAUUAGCUUGUUGGCAGGGUAAUGGCCUACCAAGGCAACGAUGGUUAGCUGGUCUGAGAGGAUGAUCAGCCACACUGGAACUGACACACGGUCCAGACUCCUACGGGAGGCAGCAGUGAGGAAUUUUGCGCAAUGGGGGAAACCCUGACGCAGCAACGCCGCGUGAGUGAUGAAGGCUUUCGGGUCGUAAAGCUCUGUCAAGUGGGAAGAACUUAUAUAAUAUUAAUACUAUUGUAUACUGACGGUACCACUGAAGGAAGCACCGGCUAACUCCGUGCCAGCAGCCGCGGUAAUACGGGGGGUGCAAGCGUUAUUCGGAAUCAUUGGGCGUAAAGGGCACGUAGGCGGCUUGGUGAGUCAGAUGUGAAAGCCCGGGGCUUAACCCCGGAAGUGCAUUUGAUACUGUCAAGCUUGAGUAUGGGAGAGGGAAGUGGAAUUCCUGGUGUAGAGGUGAAAUUCGUAGAUAUCAGGAGGAACACCGGUGGCGAAGGCGACUUCCUGGACCAAUACUGACGCUGAGGUGCGAAGGCGUGGGUAGCAAACAGGAUUAGAUACCCUGGUAGUCCACGCAGUAAACGUUG
rnacentral:rRNA from 1 species